rnacentral:rRNA from 1 species
UAAUUCGAAGCAACGCGAAGAACCUUACCAGGUCUUGAACAUGGUGUUAAAGGCUCUAGAGAUAGAGAGAUAGUUAUAGCACACACAGGUGGUGCAUGGUUGUCGUCAGCUCGUGUCGUGAGAUGUUGGGUUAAGUCCCGCAACGAGCGCAACCCUUAUCUUUAGUUACCAGCAGUAAGAUGGGGACUCUAAGGAGACAGCUAGCGAUAUGCUAGAGGAAGGUGGGGAUGACGUCAAAUCAUCAUGCCCCUUAUGACCUGGGCUACACACGUGCUACAAUGGACGGAGCAAAGCGAAGCGAAAUGGUGACAUGGAGCAAAACGCAUAAAACCGUUCUCAGUUCGGAUUGUAGUCUGCAACUCGACUACAUGAAGUUGGAAUCGCUAGUAAUCGUAGAUCAGCAUUGCUACGGUGAAUACGUUCUCGGGUCUUGUACACACUGCCCGUCAAACCACGAGAGUUGAUAACACCCGAAGUCGGUGGCCUAACCGUAAGGAGGGAGC